rnacentral:rRNA from 1 species
AUGAAGAAGGUUGUGCUGAAGCUGGACGUGCACGACGACAGGCACAAGGCCAAGGCGCUCAAGGCCGUCUCCGGCCUCCACGGCAUCGACCAGCUGGGCGUGGACAUGAAGGACCAGAAGAUGACCAUCGUGGGCACCGUCGACCCCGUCGCCGUCGUCGGCAAGCUGCGCAAGCUCUUCCCCGCCGUGCACAUCGUCUCCGUCGGCCCGGCCAAGGAGGAGAAGAAGGACGACAAGAAGGAUGGCGGCGGGGACAAGAAGCCCGCCGGAGACAAGAAAGAGGGGGACAAGAAGGACGGCGACAAGAAGCAGCAGGAGGCGAAGCCGGUCAUGCAGGCGUACCCGCCCUACGGCUACGCGCAAUACGGCUACCCGCCGCCGCCGCGCUACUUCGUCCGCAGCGCCGAGGAGGACCCCAAUUCGUGCGUCAUCUGCUGA